GGGAAUUCGGCUGCCAGUGGGUGACUAGGCCUCUCCAGCGGCAAUCCGGCGGGAAUCAAAGCCAUCAGAACCCCCACCAUGACCGUGGGCAAGAGUAGCAAGAUGCUGCAGCAUAUUGACUACAGGAUGAGGUGCAUCCUGCAAGACGGCCGGAUCUUCAUCGGCACCUUCAAGGCUUUCUACAAGCAUAUGAAUUUGAUCCUUUGUGACUGUGAUGAGUUCAGAAAAAUCAAGCCUAAGAACUCCAAACAAGCAGAGAGGGAAGAGAAACGAGUCCUUGGCCUGGUGCUGCUACGAGGGGAGAACCUGGUCUCAAUGACGGUAGAGGGACCGCCUCCUAAAGAUACUGGUAUUGCCCGAGUGCCACUUGCUGGAGCUGCUGGGGGUCCAGGGAUUGGCAGGGCCGCUGGCCGAGGAAUCCCAGCUGGGGUUCCCAUGCCCCAGGCUCCUGCAGGACUUGCUGAGCCAGUCCGUGGGGUUGGUGGGCCAUCCCAACAGGUGAUGACCCCACAAGGAAGAGGUACUGUGGCUGCUGCAGCAGCUGCUGCCACAGCUAGUAUUGCAGGGGCCCCAACCCAGUACCCACCUGGCCGUGGAGGUCCUCCCGCUCCUAUGGGCCGAGGGGCACCCCCUCCAGGCAUGAUGGACCCGCCUCCUGGUAUGAGGCCUCCCAUGGGUCCCCCAGUGGGGAUUCCCCCUGGACGAGGGACUCCGAUGGGCAUGCCCCCUCCAGGGAUGCGGCCUCCUCCCCCAGGGAUGCGAGGCCUUCUUUGACCCUUGGCCACAGAGUUAUGGAAGUAGCUCCACAGAGGCGUGGGCUCGAUUCCUCAGGGCCACGUUACCACAGACCUGUUUGUUUGUUAUGCUGUUGUUCGAGGAGUCUCACCGGAUUGUCUGGUUUCCCUUACAGGGCCCCCUCCCCCGGGAAUGCGCCCACCAAGGCCCUAGACUCAACUUGGCCCUCCUCAGCUCCCUGCCUGUUUCCCGUAAGGCUGUACAUAGUCCUUUUAUUUCCUGGUGGCCUAUGAAACUGGUUUAUAAUAAACUCGUAAGAGAAUAU